rnacentral:lncRNA from 1 species
UGAUCUCUAAAUUGAAGAUUAUUAAAAUAAUAAAUCUUCUGUUUUAGUGGAGUUCCCGAUCCUUUUCCAACUUCUGUGGGUCUUCAGACAACUAUCUUUCAAUCAUCAGUAGCCAAUAGCAUAACUUUAGAAACCAGAGGUAAGAACAUCACAAAAUAACAGAUGACUCUGCUUACUCCAAUAUGUGCCAAGAAGCAAAAAUGCCCAGAUGAACAAU